rnacentral:rRNA from 1 species
GACGAACGCUGGCGGCGUGCUUAACACAUGCAAGUCGAACGGUAAGGCCCUUCGGGGUACACGAGUGGCGAACGGGUGAGUAACACGUGGGUGAUCUGCCCUGCACUUCGGGAUAAGCCUGGGAAACUGGGUCUAAUACCGGAUAGGACCACUGCCUGCAUGGGUGGUGGUGGAAAGCUUUUGCGGGGUGGGAUGGGCCCGUGGCCUAUCAGCUUGUUGGUGGGGUGAUGGCCUACCAAGGCGACGACGAGUAGCCGGCCUGAGAGGGUGACCGGCCACACUGGGACUGAGAUACGGCCCAGACUCCUACGGGAGGCAGCAGUGGGGAAUAUUGCACAAUGGGCGCAAGCCUGAUGCAGCGACGCCGCGUGAGGGAUGACGGCCUUCGGGUUGUAAACCUCUUUCAGCACCGACGAAGCGCAAGUGACGGUAGGUGCAGAAGAAGGACCGGCCAACUACGUGCCAGCCGCCGCGGUAA